GGCCCGGGGCAGAUGCCCCCGGCGGCCUGAGGCGGCCCGCGAGCAACAGUACAUAAACACGGGUGGAGGUGGACCCUUUCGCCACNACUUACUUCUCUUUUGUCGGCGUGCGGAAGGAUCAUUACCGAGUGAGGGCCCUCUGGGUCCAACCUCCCACCCGUGUUUAUCGUACCUUGUUGCUUCGGCGGGCCCGCCUCACGGCCGCCGGGGGGCAUCUGCCCCCGGGCCCGCGCCCGCCGAAGACACCAUUGAACGCUGUCUGAAGAUUGCAGUCUGAGCAUCUUAGCUAAAUCAGUUAAAACUUUCAACAACGGAUCUCUUGGUUCCGGCAUCGAUGAAGAACGCAGCGAAAUGCGAUAAGUAAUGUGAAUUGCAGAAUUCAGUGAAUCAUCGAGUCUUUGAACGCACAUUGCGCCCUCUGGUAUUCCGGAGGGCAUGCCUGUCCGAGCGUCAUUGCUGCCCUCAAGCACGGCUUGUGUGUUGGGUCCCCGCCCCCUGCUUCCAGGGGGCGGACCCGAAAGGCAGCGGCGGCACCGCGUCCGGUCCUCGAGCGUAUGGGGCUUCGUCACCCGCUCUUGUAGGCCCGGCCGGCGCCCGCCGGCGACCCCCCAUCAAUCUUUUCAGGUUGACCUCGGAUCAGGUAGGGAUACCCGCUGAACUUAAGCAUAUCANGNCGGGGAAGAAACUUACCCGUAUGAGGGAAGGAAUGGGUCCAACCUCCACCCGUGUUUAUCGUACCUUGUUGCUUCGGCGGGCCCGCCUCACGGCCGCCGGGGGGCAUCUGCCCCGGGCC
rnacentral:rRNA from 1 species